AACAAGAAAUUAAAUAUUUCAUUUAUGACAGGCAUUAAACUAUAUGAUUAAAAACAUUACAAAGAUGAAGUUAUUAAGUAUUACACUUACAAUGAAACAAAAUUUGCAUCUAUUAAUUCUGUAAUCAUUAUGUAUUCUAACAUAUAAUUGAUAAUUGACAAGUGGAUAAUUUACGACCCUCUAUUUCUACAUGUUUCACCAUAUCCUAUUUAUACAAGAGAGGGCCAGAUCUUGAUACUGCAAAUCUUGGCAAUGGACUGGGACCUGUACUGCCUGAAGUUGAGCCUUCCACGAAUUUAGUUUUGCGGCUUGAACUAUAAUCCAAAGGCCCAGACCGGCGAACAUUCCAGUGUUUGUUUUCAGUGCUGCGAAGGCUCCCACUAUCCGUGUCAUACGGGUGUUCCUGGUUAUGGGAUGAUGAUCCUUUAAAGAAUCCUGAAUCAUUAGUACCAUACUGAGGUGUUGAAUCUCCACGAGGCUGCUUCACCGAAGGUGAUGCAUGCAGCGAUACUGCAGGUGAAUGGCGAGGUGAUACACUUAGUAGUGCCAGUGGCAUGGAAGGAGAAUUUGAGUAGUACUGGCUGUAAAUUGAACGAAGAAUUGCGUAAGGAACAUGGGCUUCAAGAGAACUUCUUGGAAGGUAUGGGGACAUCUCACAGAGUUGGUCCAGGAAAAUAAGCUUUGCUACAAGAUGAGACCUAUUAGCAUCACUCCAAGAAUCUAGCACAAUUCCAGUGGCAAAUUUGACAAAAAGCUGCAUUGCAGAUUUAAUACUUGCUUCAGCUGAUAAACGGCUAUGUAUUUCAGGAUCCAAAGCCUCACCAACAUGGCCAUUGGAGAAAGACAGCCUCUGGUGAUGUUCACGUUCCAUUCUCACAAACUCACUUCCCGCAAUCACAGCACUCAUGCACCUUGCCAAGCAAUGAAUAUUGUUGUUGAAGCCCCCUGUGUCAACAUUGAAGCCAGUGGUGUUCCAGAUGCUUGAUGUCAUGAAGGUUGCAAAUAAAUAAGGCAACAAGGUCCAAGAACCAUCAUUUGCACCCCCAACUUCUUCAAGAAUUGAUCUUACCCACUCAGAAUCAUGAUCCAGAACCAAACCAACACUAGUUGCCACCCCUCUUAUUCUCUUUAUUUCUCUCUUUUCAGGCAUUUCUUCAGGUAUAUGCUUAACUACCCCAGCAAGUAGUGAAUAUAUCAAGGGUGCACCUUCUUCAAGCACAACUCCAGCAGCUUCAGCAAGAAGCUGAUCAAAAGCAAGCGCUUGUCCUGCCUCAAUACAAAAUCCAAUUACUGUGUCCAAGUCUACAAUCUGCUUCAAACAUGCCUCCCUUUCUAUUCGAUCACCAGAAUGCAUGCUUCCAGCAAUUGCCUCUAUCACUUCACGGUUAGAACGUAAUGAUGUGUCGACACAAUUUAAAAGUGCAGCAGUGUGCUCUUUCAUCAUUCUGUCUAGCCUGUCAACUCCAUAGCCACCAAAAAUACGAACAAAGGCCUGCAAUUCUCUGAGAUCAGUAACUGACUCGGCAAAAUAUCCACCAACAGGCCUUGUGCUUUUGAUGCAUCUGUGCAAUGGUGUAAACAAGAUUCCAGCCCCUGAUAUAUCUUUUACAAUGUUUUCUAUGUACCAGUUGCAUACAACUUCAGUGGCUGAUCCAGUAAGCUGCUCAGAUGGUUUUUCAAACAAGUGCAGAGAAGAAACAGGUCCUGAAAAAGCCUCUGUGAGUAGAACUUCUCGAAUACCAUGGGUUAGGUCCAUGCUUAUGUGCUGCUCUGCUAAAUGUACUAUGCUCAUGUGCCUGCGAAUUAACGACUCUAGUGCAGAAGGCCGUUGAAGAUCAUUGUCAGUUUUUAGCACUGCAAGCACUCUUCUCCUGAAGUUUCCGAGGAUGCACUCUCUCAUGUACUCCCUCAGAACAAAUACAUGGUUUAGAACACAUAUCGGCUCCAUGUCAUUCAAAACUGAACAUAAGUUUGUCAACCUUUGCAUUGCAGCUUCUAACAUUUUUAUAGAGCUAUUAUUCUCAGGAUAGCUCUCGUGACCAGGCAGAGGAAAUCCAACUGCUCCUUUAGGAGAUUUUGCUGAAGGAAUUGAAACUCUAGAUGCAUUAUUCAAAUAAAAAGCUGCCUGCUCCGGAAGAAGCUGAGUCUCUAAGGCGCCAAACCCUCCUUCAGAAUCAAGAAUAUUGAUCAAGCCCUCCAAUCCUCCCAUGAUAGAUUCAAUAAGAGAUUCAACAUAUAGGACUGCAUCUCGCCCAAUUUUGGUAACCUCUUCAGGAACAAUUGGAGAAGCACACUCUGAAAAACUACUAGCAACACCAAGCCAUGCACAGCAAUGCUGGGGACGUCCUUCUGGCCCAAACAUAGUGUUUCUGAAGACAGCUGUGAGGUGCUGGUGGUAGAAAUACAGUUUUCUCAGACUUCCAUGCUUCGAUAAUUGAGACUCCAACUCAUCAACGCAUCUGGACCAAUUAUAAGCAGCAUUUCCUUCUGAUAGUAGCCCUUCCUUUCCAGUGGAGACAGUAGCUUUCUCCAAAUGUCUUAUGUUUAUAGAAGACCUAGCGGAUGUGACAAUCAUCAAUAUUGAUAACCAAUCCUUGCGGAAUUCACAUAGAUCACACGUGAUGGCAGAAAUAUUUUCACCCUGUGGUUUUGGUAUAUUUUCAAGAUGAUGAACAAUCCGUUGUAAAAGCCCUUUCAAGCUAGCAUCAAUAUCAAGAGCCACCAUUCCAGGAGUUCCCAGCAAAAAGCGGAUUCUACCAGCACAUGAAGAAAGGUAUGAUAACGCAUAUCCUCGAAUAGCUGCAUUAGAUAUGAAAUAACUUUAAAGAUUGCAAUCCAUAUGAGAGGUCUGUGAAUGAAAAGAAGAGCAUUGCAGAACAUAUAGCAGCUUCAGAGUCAUAUGACUAAUAUUUAAGAGAACAUAUAAAUCAUGGAGAAAGCCAAACAAAUUUUCAUAACAUCAGUACUUUCCCAGCUCUAAUAACCAGUACUCUGCUCUCUGUUAAUAUAAAUUGGAAUUAAAUUUAAUAACUACUCUGUAUUCUUAUAUAAGAAACCUUAAUCGUAAGUUAGCACCCAUAUAAAACCAAAAAAAAAAUUUACACUGAACAAUAUUGCUGGAUAAAGCUGUUUCCCAAAAACCCAAUAAUAAAAGUGAUGCAAUAACAAAGUAUGGACCAAAAAUUUACAUCACUUCGCUCUACUGAUAAAUGCAUGGGCUGCAGUUUGCAAUUAAUGAAUUAAAAAUAUUAGACCUCCUGUGGCAUGGAUAGGAGAGCAGUCUUUCACUCUUCUUAGCUACUUAACCUUCCCAAGCACCAACACUUCAGGAAACUAUGCACCCACACUUCAGGAAAAUAUGCACCAUCAAAAGCUUUUAUAUCGACUGUUAUUGGUGCCAUAGUCAGACCUUCCUAAAAAGGUUAAAACACCAUACAACUAGGGAAGUGGGAAUUCAAGAGAAAUAACAUUACAAUUCAUGAAGAAUAUACAGGCGAUCAAGAUUAUAAAUCUCAGCAGUCAGUACAAAACGCAAUUGCUUCACCCACCCCCAAACCACAAAAAGAAUAAGUAAAUAAGAAAAUUUAAAAAAAAAAACACUUGUGAAAGAGCAAUGCAACAAUUUUAUGUGCAUUUAACUGUUUUAUAUAUAGGUCUCAUUUAUAUUAUCCACAUAUUUCAAAAUCAAUAUAAAGUAUAUCACUUGUGGAAAAGAACUAAUUUUUGCAUACAUAUUCCCAUACCAACCUGCAAUAUACUUGCGCACUAAACAACAGAGACGAUCCAUUCCAUCUAGUAAGAAACCAAUAGUUGGAUCACUUGGAUCCUGCAACCAAAAAUAAAACCCCUUUAAGUUACAGCAUUCCACAAGUUUGUCAGCAAACCUAUUACUUUAUGACUGACUAAGUCUCAGUUCCAAACUAGACUUUAGGGUUCGCCAUGCAGAUACUUCUCCACCAUUCAGCUCUGUUAGGGGAUUCCGGCAACCAAAAUAAUAACAGAAAUGCAAUGGUAAUAUAGUUAAGCAAUACAUGGGAGAAGCUGACAUACUAUGUCCACAGGUACCGCUCGAGCAGCUUUAGAUUUUGAUGGUGCAAUUCCUACAUGUUGGAAAUACCAGAUGACUUCAGAUUGGGCCAAAGCCAAUGCAGAAAAUACCAUCUGUAAGGAACACCAUCAGAUCAGGGGAAAUUUGUAGCAAGUAUUAUUCCAUUUAUACUCUGGGACAAAUGUGUAAAUUAAUGACUGAAGGGAGAAAUCUAAGGGCCUGACAAAGACACCACUUUCUAAUGACCACAAGCUGAACAUCACAGAGAGUAGGAAAACUAUUUUAAAGAUUAUUACAUUCUAUUUUGAUAAAUAAAUAAAAAAACAGAGCACAUAAAUUUUAGGAAUUUCCAAGGCUUCACCAACUGUUUCAUAAAUGUCGAGUGAGACAAAUCCAAGGAUUUUUCACUAAAAACAAGUGCCACAGAACCACAGGACACAAGUAUUUCCCACCUUUUACAGGACAGAAAGAUUUGAAAUAUAGCCUAUUGGUUGGGUACAUGUGUUUUUUUUACUACACCUUUAAAAGUGUAUGCAAAAUUAAGAGAAUCACUUCAAAUCCUAUUAGAAGAAGUCUGUAAUGAGUCUAUGGACAGUCUUACCUGGAUGUUCGGUGCCAAUAAACUCGGCUGAUCUGUAAAAAAGAGCACCAUUCUUCCAAUUUCUUGCUUUAACAAUAUUCUUCUCUCACUGUGAAUAGCAUCACAUGAUACAAGUGCUUGUUCAUGUACUUCACUUAUCAUUUUCUCAACCUGCUUUGCCACACUGUAUUCCAAGUCUGCUUCCUUUUGCUUAGCUCGUCCAGAUUUAGCCAUCUUCUUUGACUCUAAUAUCCGAGGCAAAACAUAUAACUGAUAAUCUUCAUGCAAUAAAACAUACUCAUCCCUGAAUAGUGUAAGAAUUAAAUUUUCCUUCAGUACAACCAGAGCAAUAUCGAUGCUAGUGACACGAAGUAGCUCAUCAGGACAAACAAGAUAUCCAAGCAGCACCCAUUCCCUGUAAUAUGUAACAUUUGCUAGAUCUUGGGCCCUCAUUGGGUGAGCAGAAUUUGUAAGUAUAUCUGGAUAUCUAGGAUGGUAUGGACUUAGAAACCCCUCAUUUCUGAGCUUCCUUGUAUCUGUACAUAGGAAAAUAAUUGGACCCACGGCCUCUAAAACCUCUCCAAUGCGUGGACUGACAAAAUUAAGGUCUUCUUGUAAACCUUUCAAUGGUGGAUCAUAGGAGUCUAUGAAUUGAACCAACCGAUGAUAGAAAUCACAGUCUCUGUCAUUUCUUGACAUGGCAUGAAGAAAAUUAUACAUUUGUAGCAUCAUUUUUCUUGGUAUCUUCUCAGAGAAAAGGUUAACACGGACAAAGGAACAAAACAGAUCCAUAAAUGCAUGCAGUAUAAGUGAGUUCUGAUGGGGCAACAAGGUAAUGACUGUACUACUUAGAUCCAAUAUAAGUCUUAGAGCUUGUUCCCGAAAUGCCAUCAAGUCAAUAAGCAGCUGGACCCAUGGUUCCAAGCUCUGCAAAUGAACUUCUGCACUAUCAUUCAAAGCAUCAAAAGCAAUCUUAUCAACUCGCUCAAGUUGCAGUUUGCUAAAAUGGUCUGGAAACUUUUUGGAGAGCAAUAAGCAAAUCCUCGGAUAGUUUGGGAACACACCUGCUUUCCAAAAUGCUUCCGAGAACACAUGACCAACUGGAUCCGGAUAGUCCAGGAUUUGAUUCAAUCUAUACAUUUUGGCCAUAAGGCCUUCAGCUACUUCAGUAAGCUGUACUACCCACUGCAAGUUCAAACACUUAUGAGAACCACCUGAAUUUUGAACCUGUCCAUCAGGACCCUUGUUCCUAGAAGUCCUAAAUGUCAUUGGAGAAGACAUAUCAGGACCCAAGUACUCCGUCCAUCUUGAUUGACCCUCCCACUCCUUUGAUCUUGCAGCUGUAGGUGAAAGGGAUGUGUCGUGGACUGAAAAAUCUUGCCAAGGCUUUGCCAUGAAUUAAUUAGCUCACUUGGAAACUCUACAAUUUGAAGCAGCGAAAGUUGAAAUUCACAGCGACGCUAGAGAUUGUUCGAUGGCAUCCAAGUACCGAGUUCAGAUCUGAAGAGUCUUUCUAAUACAUGCA
rnacentral:misc_RNA from 1 species